rnacentral:rRNA from 1 species
AAUAUUGCACAAUGGAGGAAACUCUGAUGCAGCGACGCCGCGUGAAUGACGAAGGCCUUCGGGUCGUAAAAUUCUGUCCUUGGGGACGAUAAUGACGGUACCCAAGGAGUAAGCCCUGGCUAACUACGUGCCAGCAGCCGCGGUAAUACGUAGGGGGCGAGCGUUGUCCGGAAUUAUUGGGCGUAAAGGGUUCGCAGGCGGUCUUUUAAGUCAGAUGUUAAAUGCAUAGGCUCAACCUAUGAGUGCAUUUGAAACUGGAAGACUUGAGUUAAGGAGAGGAAAGUGGAAUUCCUAGUGUAGCGGUGAAAUGCGUAGAUAUUAGGAGGAAUACCAGUGGCGAAGGCGACUCUCUGGUCUGUAACUGACGCUGAGGCGCGAAAGCGUGGGGAUCAAACA